ACGGAAGGCAGCAGUGAGGAAUAUUGGUCACUGGACGGAAGUCUGAACCAGCCAUGCCGCGUGAAGGAUAGAGGUCCUAUGGAUUGUAAACUUCUUUUGUACGGGAGCAAUAAGGUGUAUGCAUACACCGAUGAGAGUACCGUACGAAUAAGCAUCGGCUAACUCCGUGCCAGCAGCCGCGGUAAUACGGAGGAUGCGAGCGUUAUCCGGAUUUAUUGGGUUUAAAGGGUGCGUAGGCGGAAAGCCAAGUCAGCGGUGAAACGCAGGGGCUUAACACGGGACCUGCCGUUGAAACUGGUUAUCUAGAAUACGGAUGCUGUGGGAGGAAUGUGUGGUGUAGCGGUGAAAUGCAUAGAUAUCACACAGAACACCGAUUGCGAAGGCAUCUCACAAAUCCGUUAUUGACGCUGAGGCACGAAAGUAUGGGGAUCAAACAGGAUUAGAUACCCUGGUA
rnacentral:rRNA from 1 species